CCCUUAGAUGUUCUGGGCCGCACGCGUGCUACACUGAGUGGAUCAGCGGGUCAGGUUGCGCGAAAGCGUUUCCUAAUCUUUAAAUCCGCUCGUGAUGGGGAUUGACGGUUGCAAUUUUCUGUCAUGAACGAGGAAUACCUUGUAAGCGCGGGUCAUCAUCCCGCGCUGAAUACGUCCCUGCCCUUUGUACACACCGCCCGUCGCUCCUACCGAUUGAGUGAGCCGAUGAAACUGCCGGAUGUGGACUAUUCAUAGUCUGCAGAAGAUAUUUGAAUCGUAGCGCUUAGAGGAAGGAGAAGUCGUAACA
rnacentral:rRNA from 1 species